rnacentral:rRNA from 1 species
UACGGAGGGUGCAAGCGUUAAUCGGAAUUACUGGGCGUAAAGCGCGCGUAGGCGGUUACAUAAGUUGGAAGUGAAAGCCCCGGGCUCAACCUGGGAACUGCUUUCAAAACUGUGUGACUAGAGUGCAGCAGAGGAUAGUGGAAUUUCUAGUGUAGCGGUGAAAUGCGUAGAUAUUAGAAGGAACACCAGUGGCGAAGGCG